UACGGAGGGUGCAAGCGUUAUCUGGAUUCACUGGGUUUAAAGGGUGUGUAGGCGGGCUAUUAAGUCAGUGGUGAAAUCUCAGGGCUCAACCCUGAAACUGCCAUUGAUACUGGUAGUCUCGAGUCCGGAAGAGGUGAGUGGAAUUCCGAGUGUAGAGGUGAAAUUCGUAGAUAUUCGGAGGAACACCAGUGGCGAAGGCGGCUCACUGGUCCGGUACUGACGCUGAGGUGCGAAAGCGUGGGGAGCAAACAGG
rnacentral:rRNA from 1 species